rnacentral:rRNA from 1 species
GACGAACGCUGGCGGCGUGCCUAAUACAUGCAAGUCGAACGAACCGCGACUAAGUGCUUUCACUAAGUCAAGGUGAGUGGCGAACGGGUGAGUAACACGUGGGUAACCUACCUCAUAGUGGGGGAUAACAGUCGGAAACGACUGCUAAUACCGCAUAGGACAUAGGAUCACAUGAUCCAGUGAGGAAAGGUGGCGCAAGCUAUCGCUAAGAGAUGGACCCGCGGUGCCUUAGCUAGUUGGUAGGGUAAAGGCCUACCAAGGCGAUGAUGCAUAGCCGACCUGAGAGGGUGAUCGGCCACAUUGGGACUGAGACACGGCCCAAACUCCUACGGGAGGCAGCAGUAGGGAAUCUUCCGCAAUGGACGCAAGUCUGACGGAGCAACGCCGCGUGAGUGAAGAAGGUCUUCGGAUCGUAAAGCUCUGUUGUUAGAGAAGAACAGCGCAUAGAGUAACUGCUAUGCGUGUGACGGUAUCUAACCAGAAAGCCACGGCUAACUACGUG